AACAAAAAGAUUGUGAAGUCUGCUAAAACCAGCAUCAGGCUGCCUGUUGUUUUGCUGCAGAGCUAAGAAUGUAUUUGUCAGUGCAGAAAGACACAAACAUAUUGCUGUCUC